rnacentral:rRNA from 1 species
UACAGAGGUCCCAAGCGUUGUUCGGAUUCACUGGGCGUAAAGGGUGCGUAGGCGGUCGGGUAAGUCUGAUGUGAAAUCUCACAGCUUAACUGUGAAACUGCAUUGGAUACUAUCCGGCUCGAGGAAUGGAGGGGAGACUGGAAUACUUGGUGUAGCAGUGAAAUGCGUAGAUAUCAAGUGGAACACCAGUGGCGAAGGCGAGUCUCUGGACAUUUCCUGACGCUGAAGCACGAAAGCCAGGGGAGCAAACGGG